CCGGGUGAGUAACACGUGACUAACCUACCCUCGAGUGUGGAAUAACAUCGGGAAACCGAUGCUAAUACCGCAUAACAUCGACGCUUCGAAAGAAAUGACGAUCAAAGGAGCAAUCCGCUUGAGGAGGGGGUCGCGGCUGAUUAGCUAGUUGGCGGGGUAACGGCCCACCAAGGCGAAGAUCGGUAGCCGGCCUGAGAGGGCGCACGGCCACACUGGAACUGAAACACGGUCCAG
rnacentral:rRNA from 1 species